AGUUUACCAAAGAGUCUCUGGGGAGCUGGGGGUUGGGGAUGGAGGCUGGGGCUGGGCCAAAGCAGAUUCACCUAUUUCUUCUUUUAACAAAUGUUGUUGAAACUGUUCAAGGCCAGGUCCCAUUCUUGCCCAGAAGGAGUUCCCAGUCUGGAGGAGACAAUCAAUUUUGGUUUGAUAUCUGCUACAAUGGAGGCUGCCCGAGAGACACUGCGGUUGGACAAAAAAAAAAAGGCAACAUAUAUUGAAAAGUAAGCCAAGAUACGGUUUACGUUUAUUUCUGCUUUUUCACUUCCAAGCUGUGUGGCCCUGGGCAAGUCAUUCGCCCUCUCGACCUAAGUUUUAACUUCUGCUUAAUGGGACUAGCCUUGAAUUACUGUUUUUCACUCUGAGAUUCUAGGUCUCCUGACAACUCAAGUCCCGACACGUUGGCUGCAGAGAAGGGGGGAGGGGAGGAAGGCUUCCUAGAAGAGGAUUUCAGCAGUCGGGGGUGACAGUGGAGGGAGAAAGGGAACACGGAGACGCUUGCGCAGUAAACACCGCACGCUCUCUUGCCUCGCCCAACCCCUUCUCUGCAGCAGGGAAUUGCAGGCGUCGCUCCACCUAUCCCAGCCGAGCGGAGUGACACCCUCCCCUCUUUCCUUCUCUACUGAUCUUCGCCUUCCGCCCGCCCCACAGCCGCCCAAUGGAGGGCUGAAGUAGGACAGAUCUCGCCAAUCCGCGACGCCUGCGGGGCAGGUCUACCCGUUCAUUGGUCCCAGUCAACCUAAGUCCCGCCUCCUAGGACCGUUCCCCGCCUUCCUUCACGUCCCUCCCUUCCUCCUUGGAGAGCCGCUAGAUCCAAUCAGUGUUUGACCUGGCCGCGCGGAGGGGGCGGGCCCAUGAUACGCAAUCGAACCCCGCCCGUCUCUCGGGCAACGCCUCCUCCCCCCCCUCCCCAGCUCCCAAACGGAAAUAGCGGAACACUGGGCCAAUCGUAGCGUCGUGCCUUUGCUUGGCGGCCAAUGAGAGAGGAAGUGGGGGAGAAACCCGC
rnacentral:lncRNA from 1 species